GGCUCCAUACCUCAGGGGUUAGCGCACUGGUCUUGUAAACCAGGGGUCGUGAGUUCGAUUCUCACUGGGGCCU
rnacentral:tRNA from 1 species